UACGGGGGGUGCGAGCGUUGUCCGGAAUCACUGGGCGUAAAGGGCGCGUAGGUGGCCUGAUAAGGGUGUGGUGAAAGUCCGGGGCUCAACCUCGGAUCGGCCGUGGCGACUCGUGGGCUGGAGCACUGUAGAGGCGGGUGGAAUUCCGGGUGUAGCGGUGGAAUGCGUAGAGAUCCGGAAGAACACCAGUGGCGAAGGCGGCCCGCUGGGCAGUGGCUGACGCUGAGGCGCGACAGCGUGGGGAGCAAACAGG
rnacentral:rRNA from 1 species